rnacentral:rRNA from 1 species
GAUGAACGCUGGCGGCGUGCCUAAUACAUGCAAGUCGAGCGAACGGACGAGAAGCUUGCUUCUCUGAUGUUAGCGGCGGACGGGUGAGUAACACGUGGAUAACCUACCUAUAAGACUGGGAUAACUUCGGGAAACCGUAGCUAAUACCGGAUAAUAGUUUGAACCGCAUGGUUCAAAAGUGAAAGACGGUCUUGCUGUCACUUAUAGAUGGAUCCGCGCUGCAUUAGCUAGUUGGUAAGGUAACGGCUUACCAAGGCAACGAUGCAUAGCCGACCUGAGAGGGUGAUCGGCGACACUGGGACUGAGACACGGUCCAGACUCCGACGGGAGGCAGCAGUAGGGAAUCUUGCGAAAUGGGCGAAAGCCUGACGGAGCAACGCCGCGUGAGUGAUGAAGGUCUUCGGAUCGUAAAACUCUGUUAUUAGGGAAGAACAUAUGUGUAAGUAACUGUGCACAUCUUGACGGUACCUAAUCAGAAAGCCACGGCUAACUACGUG